AGUCAGCCAGGUGGCCGCGACGCGACAGUGUCGAGGAACGUCCGGACUCCACACAGCAGGGUGGUUGUUAACAGCAACCCGGGGUGACCCGCGGGAAAGUGCCACAGAAAACAGACCGCCCACAUUGUGGGUAAGGGUGAAACGGUGGUGUAAGAGACCACCAGCGUCUCCGGUGACGGAAACGGCUUGGUAAACCCCACCCGGAGCAAGGUCAAGCUGAACCGCUGGUUCGAUGCGGACGUUGGAGGGCUGCUCGCCCGAGUUCGCGGGUAGACCGCUCGAGCGCGUCGGCGACGACGCGCCUAGAUGGAUGGCCACCGCCGCGGGCAACGCGGUAACGCGCCCGCGGCACAGAAUCCGGCGUAUCGGCUGACUCGUC
rnacentral:RNase_P_RNA from 1 species